GCUGCGGCUUGUUGUGCGUUUGCGGCCCUGGCCACCGUGGUGCCGCUAACCUUCUGGCCGCAUGGCCCGGGGCCGCAGUUCGUUGCGGCCCACCUACCGCGGGGGCCUCCACUGCACGCCCACUGCUGUCCGGCCGCUGCGUCCCUGGGUUCCUCCGUCUCCUCCCUAUGGGGCUCUGAGCUGACCGGCCAGACUACAGCAAUGAAUUGGUGGCCUAGCAACCUCCAAAGAUGGAAAAACCGAAGUUCGACGACACAAAGCUGUUGCCAAAACAAAGGGGAUUUGGCGAUGGAGGCCUUGUUGGAAGGAAUACAAACUCGGGGGCAUAGUGGGGGAUUUUUGACAUCCUGUGAAGCAGAAUUGCAAGAGCUCAUGAAACAGAUCGAUAUAAUGGUGGCUCAUAAGAAAUCUGAGUGGGAGGGGCAGACACAUGCUCUGGAGACUUGUUUGGACAUGCGCGAUCGGGAGCUGAAGGCUCUGAGGAGUCAGCUGGACAUGAAGCACAAAGAGGUUGGAAUAUUGCAUCAGCAGAUAGAAGAACAAGAAAAAACCAAGCAAGAAAUGGCCCUGGAGUACAAGGAGGAGUUAAUGAAGCUGCAGGAGGAAUUAAGCAGACUGAAGAGAAGCUAUGAAAAACUGCAGAAAAAGCAACUAAGAGAAUUUAGAGGAAAUACCAAAAGUCUGCGAGAGGAUCGGUCUGAGAUUGAGAGGCUGACUGGAAAAAUAGAGGAAUUCCGACAGAAGUCUUUGGACUGGGAGAAGCAGCGUCUGAUUUAUCAGCAACAGGUAUCUUCUCUGGAAGCACAGAGGAAGGCUCUAGCUGAGCAGUCAGAGAUAAUCCAGGGAUCUGGUGGAAAACAAACUGCUUCCACCCUGAGGCCUUGAGCUUGAAUUUACAUAAAAUUAUUUGUCUGUGUCUUUGCCUCUCCCUUUUCAGGCUCAGCUUGCCAACCGGAAACAGAAAUUAGAGUCUGUGGAACUGUCUAGCCAGUCAGAAAUUCAGCACCUGAGCAGUAAGCUUGAGCGGGCUAAGGACACCAUCUGUGCCAAUGAGCUGGAAAUAGAGCGCCUUAAUAUAAGGGUCAAGGACCUGAUGGGAACCAACGUGACUAUCCUGCAGGAGCAGCGGCAAAAGGAGGAGAAACUGAGGGAGUCUGAAAAGUUACUAGAGGCUCUGCAGGAAGAACAGAAAGAGUUGAAGGCAAGUCUUCAAGCUCAAGAAAGCUUCAUUCUUGAUGCAAAAAUGCAGGAGAAACUGCAAACGAAACUAAAGGCAGUUGACACUAAGCACUCAGUAGAAAGGUCUCUGGAGGACUGUCAGGUGGAGAGGAAGUACAGCUCUUCAGGGCAGGGAGUCUUGGAUAAUGUGCUCUCCCAGUUGGACAUAAGCCACAGCAGUGAAGAACUCCUACAGGCAGAGGUGACUCGUCUUGAAGGCAGUUUGGAAUCUGUGAGUACAACAUGUAAACAGCUGAGCCAAGAACUGAUGGAGAAGUACGAAGAGCUGAAGAGGAUGGAAGGGCAUAACAAUGAGUACCGGACAGAGAUAAAGAAGCUGAAGGAACAGAUUCUGCAGGCUGAUCAGACUUACAGCUCUGCCCUGGAAGGAAUGAAGACGGAAAUCUCCCAGCUAACCCGGGAGUUGCACCAGCGAGAUAUCACUAUUGCUUCUGCCAAGUGUUCCUCCUCAGACAUGGAAAGGCAGCUGAAGGCAGAGAUGCAGAAGGCGGAAGAAAAGGCCGUAGAGCAUAAGGAGAUUCUGAGUCAGCUGGAAUCUCUCAGAUUAGAAAAUCGCCGUCUCUCUGAAACAGUGAUGAAGCUGGAACUGGGCUUGCACGAGGCAAAAGAGAUUUCACUAGCAGACCUUCAGGAGAAUUAUAUUGAGGCAUUAAAUAAAUUAGUGUCUGAAAAUCAACAACUACAGAAAGAUCUGAUGAGCACCAAAUCUCAGCUGGAGCAUGCUACUCACAUGUGCAAAAAAAAAGAUGGCAGGAUCUUUAACCCAGCACACAGCAGAACAGUCGGGUUCAAGAAUGCAGAACUUAAGCCAACCCAUGGCCAGCACAGACAUGAUGGAAUAAAGACUGAGCAGUACAAAACAGGUCACCACUCGCCUCGAGGACAAACGUUGGAUAGCAUAGACCCCGUGGCCAGGGGCCCCAGCCCCCUGAGUUGUCACAUCAGCCCCGGCAGCUCCACCAUCUCUCUGCCUUCCAACUCUGUAUGUCAGGCUCGCUCUUUGCCUUCAAUGCUAGAUAUAAAUGAUGCCAACUUUUCUGACAAUCUGUCUGACUGUGCGAAUGACCAAGAAGAGUUUGUAUCUUCGUGCUCGAUGCCCGUCUCUCCACUGGGAUUGAUAGCUACCAGGUUUCUAGAAGAGGAGGAGCUGAGGUCUCACCACAUUCUAGAGCGCCUGGACGCCCACAUUGAAGAACUGAAAAGAGAGAGUGAGAAGACGGUGAGGCAGUUCACAGCCCUCGUGUAGUGCUGAGCAGCCACACACAGAAGACUGGUUCUAAAGAUCUAAGAGCAAUGGCUGCAAGAGCAGCACUGAGGAAUCUGCAGAUCGGGCACUUAGGUAUUUUCACUGGCUCAUUUGAAGGACUGCUUCCAGUAGUAACCUGUGAGAAUAAACUACCUUGCAGACUUUCUCACAUGAAUAUUUAUUACCACAGAGCAAUACCUUUUCUUCCUGACUUACAUGUGAAUAGCUGUGUACUAAUUAAAAUAAAGAUUUUGCUAUACUGUUUGAAAAUAAA